AGAUCAUGUUGCAGUUUCAUC
rnacentral:miRNA from 1 species